rnacentral:SRP_RNA from 1 species
GCCAUGAGCGAUGUCACCCACCUAUAAUCCAGCUACCAGGGAAGCUGAGCCUGGUAGAUCUUUAGUUUAAGAGUUCUGAGCUUUAGUGAGCCAUGUUGAUGGGAUGUUCACACUAAGUUUGGCAUCAGUGUGGUGAGCCCCUGGAAUUAGAGGACCACUAGGUUGUCUAAGAAGGGUUACAAAUGGGAGCAGGUUAGAGCUCCCAGACCACUUAGUAGUGGGAUCAGGCCUGUGAGCAGCCCCUGUACCAGUUCCAGCUCAGAGUGAGAUGGAGAGACCCAGUCUUU